CGGCGGACGGGUGAGUAACGCGUGGGUAACCUGCCUCAUACAGGGGGAUAACAGUUGGAAACGGCUGCUAAUACCGCAUAAGCGCACAGUACCGCAUGGUACGGUGUGAAAAACUCCGGUGGUAUGAGAUGGACCCGCGUCUGAUUAGGUAGUUGGUGGGGUAACGGCCUACCAAGCCGACGAUCAGUAGCCGACCUGAGAGGGUGACCGGCCACAUUGGGACAGAGACACGGCCCAA
rnacentral:rRNA from 1 species